rnacentral:tRNA from 1 species
GGCCCGGUCGUCUAAUUGGUUAGGACACCGCCCUCUCAAGGCGGAGCUUGCGGGUUCGAUCCCCGUCCGGGCUACCA